UGGGGAAUAUUGCACAAUGGGCGGAAGCCUGAUGCAGCGACGCCGCGUGGGGGAUGAAGGCCUUCGGGUUGUAAACUCCUUUCGACAGGGACGAAGCUUUUGUGACGGUACCUGUAUAAGAAGCACCGGCUAACUACGUGCCAGCAGCCGCGGUAAUACGUAGGGUGCGAGCGUUGUCCGGAAUUACUGGGCGUAAAGAGCUCGUAGGUGGUUUGUCGCGUCGUCUGUGAAAUUCCGGGUCUUAACUCCGGGCGUGCAGGCGAUACGGGCUGACUUGAGUGCUGUAGGGGAGACUGGAAUUCCUGGUGUAGCGGUGAAAUGCGCAGAUAUCAGGAGGAACACCGAUGGCGAAGGCAGGUCUCUGGGCAGUAACUGACGCUGAGGAGCGAAAGCAUGGGUAGCGAACAGG
rnacentral:rRNA from 1 species